AGACGGCGACCAAUGUGUUCUUAUUGGGAAAAAUUCGUGUACACAAAUACACGCGUCCCCAGAGAGGGAGAGGACAUUGAGAGAGAGAGUACACGAACACUCACACAUAGACGAGAGCGCACAGUGCAAAUGUAAGAAGAAAGAAGAAGAAGCCAAAUGGCCGCCGCCGCCGCUGAAAAGGAAGAAAAUGAUGGAACAAGGCACAAGGCGAGUAAUGAGGCGACACAUCCAAGAAAACAGAUAAAUAUACACACACAGGCACUGGCACACAAACGCACAAUCGAAAAAUAUUUCACCAAAAUAUAAAAUAUUCAUUAUUUUCCUCUUUUCUCAGUGUUUGCAGUCGUUCUGACCGCGCAGUCGGCAGCGACCCGGCCAAAAAAUUAAUUGAUUUUUACCUUUUGGGGAAAAACAAUUUGAUUUCUUGAUGAAGAAGAAGAAUACGGCUAAGAAUUCUUCAACGUCGCGUCCGUCGCAGAACGAUAAUAAAAGCGAAAUGCAAAGACACACGGGGCAAAUACAACAACAUACGAGUAGAACAGAACGAACCCGCUGAGAGAACAAGAACCUGAGCAGUGUUGUCAAACGUGCGAAAUCAACAGAGAACGGAGCAUGUCCAACAAGAGAGAGCGAAAGAGGGAGAGCAUGAGAUGAGAACGGGAGAAAGAGCACAGACGGCGUUUUGCAUAAAAUUGUUAAAAAUGUAAUACUCAUUUAUGGUUUAUGGUAAAAACCACAUGAGGGAGCGACUGAGACGGUGCUAUUCUCACCCGAUUCGGAAUGCAAAAGAUCAUUACAAAUUAAUGAAAUUAUCA